AGCAGUAGUAGUAUACAUGUGGGCACACGUACCACGAGCCCAACCGCGAUCUGGUUGGGAAGACUGUCGGGCGGUGAAUGUCCUGGAAAUGGCCUAAACUUGCUGUCCAACGUGUAUCCAAUCAAGAGAUAGUUCAUAGAGAAUUCGUCCGGAUGAACAUUAACAUGCCAGUGAGGAAUAUGCACCCGAGCCCCAAGGUAGGGCGCGUUGCAGGCGUACGCAGCGGCCACCUGCGUAGAUGAGAUUCAUGCAUGCAUGCACGAAGAACAACGCACCAUGCAUCAUGCAUAUCAUUAACGUACGACUCAUCAACAACAAACGGAAAAGACGACCGUCGUAUAGUAACUGCAGAGACGACAGAGUCACCCGAAACAUGUAAGUGAUGAUCGGCCGGGCGAGAUUAAUUACCUCCACUUUGCCCUUCGAAGUGUCCAUGGAUUCGGGGAGGACCACUUUGCCGGCGCCACCAGGGCGUCCGAACGGCGAGGCCCGCAGCACCCGCUCGACGACCUCUGAGUUGGCGUUGGGAGAGGCCCUCCUGAUAGGGGCAGUUCCUUCCGGGCAGCUCCCAUAUUUUUGCCACGUCUGUGGGCGCGCCUGCAGCCGCGCCGCCGCCGCGGCGGCCAUUGCCGUCACGUUCAUCCGCGGCGAAGGAUGCUUCUUCAGCUCCGGUUGGUGGUGGUAGACGUGCACGCAGUCAAUCACGUCGCCGUUGUCGCUCUGUUCGCCCGGUGCAUUAUACAAACACAACUCUAUCGUCAUCUGUCAACUAAGCUCACGCGAUACGUUGUUUCAUUUGACGACAGGCGCCCACCGGCCGGCGAUCAACAGUGCCGAUCGGUGCAGAAAAUAAAGUGGAGUAUAAAUUCGUGAUAUAUACCUACCUCUAUGGUUUUGUUGACGACCAACGCGGAAACUCCAGCUGCCGCUAGCAGCAUCGUCAGGACGAUAGCCCUGACGGCAGGCGCCACUGCUGCUCGGUCCAUGGAUAAACGAUCUGCAGCGCAGUUCUAUUUGAUCGGGCUUCGGGCACACAAUAAGAUGAUCACAAAGAGAAGGAAGGUGUGUUUUGACAGGUACAUUUCAUGUAUAUAUAGAUACUACUACUUGCCAAGAGAACUACAAAAGGAAUUUUAUUAUCAGCCAGGUCACGCAGAUUACUCUUAUCCGUUAUUGUAUACGUAUGUAUUAUUCUUAGCUAGUAAUAACAACCGACCAAUGUGGUACAUUUUUGUGUCUUGGUUCGCUCUCUCCCGGACUAGUAGGCGAUCGAACACGUCACGUUUCGCUCCCAUCUGUCGUCGCUAAUCUUGCCAUUCUAUCAAUAUAAUAUGGUCAUAUUUAUGCCCGUGGGUCUACUUAUGCAUGUGACACUCAUGUGCCAUUAAGAAAGAUGGUGUCUGUCUUUAUGUCAUUAAAAAAUUGAGACGAGCCCUAGUAUCGCGAUACUUAUCUCUUUUGCCCAACACGUCAUUCCGUCUUAUUUUCCUUGUAAUGGUGGAUAACGGAGCAGGAAAAUAACUUAGCUGCCCUUAGGUUUGAGAGACCGUGUGACUAAGUUUAAUUCCUUGUGUGCCAUCCCCAGGCCGAGCCAUUUUUGGCGCCAAAGACAGAGGAGUUGGCGCCAAAGGUAGAGGACACUAGUACACUAUACAGGCGGUUGGUAACAUAUUUCUACAGGCGUUUUCCAGAUCCGCCUGCGCUGAAGGCCAGUAGAAAUCGUCCAUUUCCACAUGCGGUUGCUUGAGAGCCGCCAGUAGAAACCAUUUACACAGGCAGCUCUCUUAGGGAACCGCCUGUGUAAAUGAACAUUUACACAGACGGUUCCCUAAGAGAGCCGCAUGUGUAAAUGGAUUAAAAUAUGUUUUAUUUAUUUAUUUAUUUAUUAUUUUAUUGUUAUUAUUUAAAUAUAUUGAUAUUGGUUGGUCUUCUAACAUAGAAACAUGUAAUUUAAAUACUUUAUCUCAUACAUACAUUUGUAUACAUCAAAGUUUGGUGCUCAAAGACAUAAAGUUAAUUACAAGAGUAUAUCCAUCAUCACACAUCAUAUAUAUAUACAUUAAAGUUUGUUUCUGUCCUCUAAUAACCCUCUUUAGUAAGUUUGAGCUUACUAAUCUCUGUUAACACUCGGAACUGUGGCCUGGAUAAUUGGCUUUCAUCAUCUUGAUAUUUGCCUUCACGUGGAAUGACAUGCUUCAUGAUGAACGAGUAGAUGUCCUCAACUAUGUUGUCUAAAGCACGUUCGUCCAUGCGCUCCGCCGUCCCUUGCUUAUAUACCUGCAAAGAAAGUUUAUAAACAUUAUAUAUUUUAUGACUUCCAACUUUAAUAGACUAUUACUUAUAUUACCUUGUCAGGGUUCCUUAUAUAUCGUCCGUUUUCUCUCAUGUUCUCGCACACGUAGUAGCCACAGAGGACAGAUAACGGUGGUUGCUUCAUGCACUGUAUAACAGGAGAGUGGUUAUUUAAUUAUAGUUGUAACUGUGGUCGUAUGUGUAUGAUUUGUAUUCAUAAUAGUAAAUUUUUAUACGUACCCGCCAGUUAUGUAUAACCUCCAAUGGUUGCCCUGGUCUCUUGGACUCGCACUUUCCAUGAUUUAUCUUAUAGAACCUGUAUGCCCUAUGAUCUCAAAUAGAAUCACCAUGUUAUUGUCAAAUUCUCACUAUGUUUAAGUAUGCAUGCAUAGCUUGACUUACAGCUCUAGCAGUUUGAUGAAUGGAGCAUAGCUUUCUUUCGGGUAAUCUGCGAAGUCUAGUACCAACACCCUUCCCUCCUUGGGAUAAAUGAUGAAGCAUAUCCAGUGCCUCCUGCUCGAAUUAAAUCCAUGAUGCAUUAUGCAUUGGAAUAAUUUAGAUAGAUAUUUGUAAACUCACACUUACCCAAAGUGGUACGGGGCCACCACCGCUUUCCUGUCUUGAAACUUUAUUAGUGAAUUUCCAAUGUAGAAGGCGUAUUUGGCUUCAAAAUCAAGUUUCAACUUUCGGAGUUUAUCAUCCCGUUCUGCACCUUCCAAACCCUGUACCUCUGUGCUGUCAUUCCCGAUCCGGAAUGUGUACCGAUCUUCGGCUAUAUCUAUUGGGCAGAGAUAGUCAUUCCUUUCUUCGGCACAAUAAUUAAGGUCCGAACCAAAAUACAAAUCUUGUUGAUCAUAUAACAUUCUGCAAGAUAGAAGCAUGUCAGAUAUUGAAAAUUGAUUCAACUACAAUGUGUGUAACUAUGUAACACUUACAAUGCAAAUGCUGUUACGAUCUAUACAUCUAGCAUCUCGUGGUUCAUCAGUGCCCACAUGUCAUCAAAAGUAAGCAUGCAUUUGUCAGUACUCUGGCUGAGAAAUGCUAUUUGUGGUAUGCGCAUGCUUAUGGUGUUGAUACCAGCAGAAGAGGCUCUCAUGUACCAGUCAUGAAACCUUUUUAUACCACUUGGUUUCUUCAUAAGUUUGGUCCGACUGAGUAGAGGCUUUCCCCCACACGUACUUUUUGGGGAUAUUCUUGUAGUCUUCUGCAGUUGGCACCUUGAAAUUGAUAGGAGUUAUGACCUUAGGCGCCGGCACCUCUGACUUUGCUAGCUCAGAAAUCUCAUGCUCUUGUAUUGUGCGUUUCGAAGCAAUGCCUGACAAAAAUCUCACUUGCCCAGCUGAUUUUUUCUUUGGCUCGUAUGGUGAAAUCAACUUAGGUAUCGGAAAUACUUUCUUCUUUGGUACCUUUGGUGGCUCACUUAUUGGUUCUGGAUCUUUGAGUUGUGGGGAAGGGGUGGAAUUGAAUGGUGGUGGAGAUUGUGUUGACUGUGGGGUAGAAAGAUCAUGGAGAGGAGAUGGUUGAUGGACAGGGAAAACAUGGAGAGGUGAUUCUGGUGGGUCAGGAAGAGACUGGGAGGUGAAGGCGGUGGGUUAGGAAGAGGAUCGACAUGAGCUGACGACUCCUGGGUUAGUGGCAUCUCUUGAGAGGGUGGUGGUGGCUCCCUUAGUUGCACGUCCCUCCGAGGCCAAAGGAUGAAAUUGUUUAUCGCCUGUCCUAGUUUCACAAUGUCCUCGGGACCAGGGAUGUGUAGAAUCUCAUCCUCAUAUCCUUGGACCACGGUUGAUACCUCUACUCUGCAGUAGUCUUUAGGGAUGUUAGCAGCAUGGUAUUUAGGUCCUCCUGGGAUCGCUUUGCCCGUGGCUACUUCCCUUGUACGAUGAUUGUUAAUCCCAUAUCUUAUGACAAGGGAGCAAGGUGUAGAAGUAACAAUGUCGUCAACUGGAUAGUGAUCCUUGUUUGCCGUAGAUGCGACACUGCUUGGAAUGAUUGUUUCACUUGAUGCCACCAAUGGUUGCGACACCACUGGGACUAGCUACAUUUGGGGAGCUUGAGUGCUCAUUUGGGCAGCUGCAUUUGACAUGGCACUCGCUAGUUUCUGCAUCAACUCAGGAGGAGGAUUUUCUAGCAACUUCCCCAUCAUCUCUUGAAAGUCUUUCUUAGCCUCUUCAUGAAAAUAAUUUGCCAUUUGUUCCUUGUACCGAUCACGUUUCUUAUACUCAUUUUUCCAUUGAGGGCCGAAUCCAUCCUUCCAUCCUUCUUUGGAUGAGAUGCCUCGAACAUGGCCAGGAUGCUCGGGGUUACCGAGGCCAACAUUAAGGAUGUCCCUCUCCCUUUGUGGCGUAAACUUGCCUUCCUGCUCCAUGCCUGCCACUGCAAAGAUGCUCUUCAUUGCUUCAUCAAGCAUUGGGUCUUCAAAGGACACACCCGUCUCGGUUUCCUUUGGUUUCUGAGCACGGAUCCAAUUCGCGGACCUUUCACUGACUUGCUCGGACAGCACUGGCAACCCUACUGCCUUCUUCGCAGCCUCUUCUUGCCUCCAUUUAGGAACUUGGUGCCGGUAACCACCUGUGCCUAGAUGGUGGCGGUACUUGUUUCUCUUUGCGAGCUGCGAGUUGGCUUCGCUCCGAGCUAAGAAGUUAGGGUCAUUCCUCUGCUCUAGAAAAAUAGCCCACUGCCCUUUAGUAAUAUUGUAUUUGGAUGUCGGAUCCAUCCCUGUCUUUGCAUACUUGACAUUCAUCUCCGACCUCCAAUUUUAGAAACUAACCGCACAUUGCUUCAUUGUAUAUGCCUUCACUAAAUCUUCUAGCACAUUCCUAGGAAACUGGAACCUUGUCUUAAUCUUAUCCCAAAUUUUGAUCUUGUGAUUAUUCGACACUCCAGACCAGUUCUUAACUGUGAUAUCAAGAAAGUCUCUCACACAGAAACCAAUUGCGUUCCUGUAUUUGGGUAGGGCCUCCUCUGGAGCUAGGGGCUGUCCGGUAGGGCUCACAUCUGUGAUGUCAUAUGUGUCAUCUGGAAAUUGGUUCAACCCUCUCUCGCCUCGUUUCAAACCUAGCCGCUUCCUCUUCCUAGACUGACAUGGCCUCUCAGGGCUCGUCGUUGCGGUCGUCGGUUCCGGUGCGUCUUCGUGUGCCACUUCCUCCUGAGACAUCAUCUCUCUAAACUGAGACAUUGCCUCCUGAGUACAGACAUGUGAAUGAUGGGCGUGUUUAUAUGUAGGAACUAUGAAUAGAAAUCAUUUAAUUACAUGAAAUCGUGAAUGUCUCUAAUUUACCUCAUCGGCUUCUGGAUUGUAAUCUGGGUCACGUGCCAAUUCACGAUGAGUCUUCCUCACUUCUAGUGGCUCCAUCGUCGCUAGCUUCUUGUUCAUAGGACGAUCCUGAUGCUUCGCCCGUUUGUACUUGUUUUGUGACCUCACGAGCUUGUUCCAUAGGGUCGGAUGACCCUUCUACUUGCUCCGUGGGUUGGGACUGCAGUGCUUCGUCCUUGUGCGGAGAACUCAUCGCAGAAAUCUAUGUAAGUUAUGCAUAAAAUUAAAUUUAUGUAUCCUGGGGUAUAUACACUAAUACAUAUAUAAAGAGAAAUAAUAACAAGUAUUUAUAAAAGAAUAGACACAAAUAAUACAUACAUAUAUUUCCUCAACAUAAUCACAUAUGAAAUAAUAAUUAUGAAUUCAUUACCUAUAUAAAGAGAAAUAAUAACAAGUAUUUAUAAAAGGAAUAAUUAUUCAUGCUAUUACAUAUAUAAAGAGUAAUAAUAACAAGUAUUUAACAUAAUUACAUAUGAAAUAAUAAUUAUAAAUAAUACAUACAUAUAUUUCUAUACAAAUAAUACAUAUAUAUAUUUCUAUACAACAUAAUCACAUAUGAAAUAAUAAGUAUUUAACAUAUGAAAUAACAAAUAUUUAACAUAAUCACAUAUGAAAUAAUAAUUAUAAAUAAUACAUACAUAUAUUUCUAUACAAAUAAUACAUACAUAUAUUUCUAUACAACAUAUAAAAUAAUAAGUAUUUAACAUAUGAAAUAACAAGUAUUUAACAUAAUCACAUAUAAAAUAAUAAGUAUUUAAUAUAUGAAAUAACAAGUACUAAACAAAUAAAUUACUAAAGUAAAAAAAAAAGAAAAUCUCCUCUCCCUCCCCUUUCCGGCCCAACCCAAGACUCCCUCUCCCCUCCUCUCUCCCUCUCUCUAGCACGGGGCCAUCCCUAACCUCUGCGCCCGCACGCUGCCUCGCACCGCGCGCUCGCCUCGUUGCCCGCGCAGCCACGCGCGCGCCUAACACCUUCCCUACCGCCGCCGCCGCCCUUUCUCGGACCGGCCCCACCAGCCGCCGCCGCCCUGCCUGUCGCCGCGCGCAGACUGCCGCAGCCGCCGCGCGCGCACGCAGAGAGAGAGAGAGAGAGCGAGCGAGGAGAGGCUCACCGCCGGGCGGCUACGGCGUCGAGGGCGGAGUGCUCCGGUAACGGGAGCAACGGCGUCGAGGGCGGCUAUGGCGGCGUGGAAAAUUACGGCAGCCUGACGGUGUGGUUUCAAAUGAACUGGGCGCUAGACUUAGAAAAUUUUCGGACGGAGAAGACCCAUGGUUAUAUAGUUUGGCAUUAGUACAGGCGGUUGUCUUAGCUAACCGCCUGUAGAAACCAUUUCUACAGGCGGUUGGCUUAGUCAACCGCUAGUACUAAUGCAUUAGUACUGGCGGUUUACUAAGCCAACCGCCAGUACUAAUGCAUUCGUACUAGCGGUUGGCUUAGUCAACCGCCUGUACUAAUGUAUUUUCAGUUUAUUUAAAGUUUUCUUUAUAUAUAUUUUUAGAAAUUAUUUAAAUGAUUCAAAAAAUCAUAUCUUCAAAAAUAUUUGUCAAAUACACAUGUUAAAAAUAUGAAAUUUCAUAUUUGAGGUACUUUUGUAUGCAACUUUAUUUAAAAUGAUUUAAAUUGAAUAUGUGCCUCAUAUCUUGUUUAAUACAUAAAUAAUUCUAGGAAUACCCGAAAAAUGUAAAUCUAAUUUUGUUAGCUUUAUUGUAGUGUGUAAAUGCUAUGAAAAAUAUAUUCCUUUGUGCAAUUUAUCGUUUACAAUAUAAAUGUGAGAAACCCAUAUGUUUGAGCAUAGUUCGGUGGAAGGACUCUUAUACGUUUGUGAAGCAUGUAUGUUAUGCCUAUCUCCAAAUGUCUUGAAAUUUUUUUGGCAAGCUUCUACACUCAAAUGAUAACUCCACACAAGAUCUUAGGAUUUUCUGGUCAUGCAAGCUAUUAUUACAUUUUUCUUUGUGCUAAAUGAGAUGAAAAAUGGUGGACUACACCUAGAUCCCACUAGGUUUUUCCACCAACCACAAGGAAGUUUUAUUUCCUAUGGUAUAUAAGACCCUGUGGAGAAGUUUGGCACCAUUUGGAGUUAUUUCAGGGGUAGACUUAGUUCAAACGCUAAUUAGUGGGUGACGUCGCACGGAAAUUCAAUUAAAUCGGAUAAAGUAACAAACCACAUCAGAAAAACCCAAACUUGGUGGAUUGAACAUCAAUGGCACUAGUAACCCUUAGUAAAAGUUUGAGACCAAUACGAUAUCAAAGUGUUACGACAUGGUAAGUCUUAGAUGUAGAAAUAAGUAUAGGAUCUUACACGUAGAAAUAGUGAAGGGCACAUGCAUAAUGUACACAUUUAUCAUAAAUAGAUUACAUGGUAAAUGACAAAUAAAAUCUAGGCAGCUAUUGUUCUUCCUUGUCCAUCGUGACGCACCCAGGGCAACGAGCUCUGUGGAAUGCUUCGCUCAACAUUCCUUAUCUUUACUGGAUGGUCGUCUACAAAGAGAGACAUGUCACUGAACUGGUUAAAUUCAUCCAAGUCAGAUACACCAUCAACUCCGAUGGCUUGUUGCUUUCCAGGGAAAACUAUGUGCUUUGGAUGGUCCGUAAUUUUCUUCUUAUCACUAGGAGAGAGGACCUGCUCAGCAUAGAAGACAUGUGCGGCACGGUUAGCCAUUAUCCAUGGAUAAUCUUUGUAGCCUACCUUGCUUAGAUCUAGAACUCUAAUCCCAUAGUUGUCCACUGUGACAUGUUUGUCUUCAACCCAUUGACACCGAAAUACAGGGAUCUGAAAUUACCAUAGUCUAGUUCCCAUAUGUCCUCAACGAAGCCAAAGUAAGUUGUUUCCUCACCAGUUUCAGAGUCUAAGGCGUCGCAUCGAACACCACUAUUUUGUGCCAUGCUCUUUUGGUCCUUGGACUUGGUACAGAACGUGAAGCCACUAAUGUCAUAGGUUUGCCAAGUCGUGACCUGGCGUGAUGGCCCAGAUGCCAAGACCUUGAUGGUGCGAUCCUCGAGUGUUUCCCCAUCUGGAAUGUCCUGCUCCCUUAGCCAUGAGGUGAACUGAUUCUUAUGUUCCUUCAUUAUCCAUUCAUCUGUGUGCCCAUGAUUAUGUUUUUGAAGCUCUUCAAUGUGUAGAUUGAUCAAAGGCUCCAUUAUCGAGAGCUGAUGCAGGACGCUGUGAUGUGCUUCGACGACUGAAUUGUAAUCUUUUAGGACGUAUGAUUUCUUUCCCAUCCUACCUCUUCCAUUCAGCCUACCCUCGUGUCGUGACGGAGGCAAACCUAUUGCAACCUGGUCUUUUAGGAGCCUAUUGCAGAAUGGACCUCCGGACUCAAUGGCCUCUUCGGUUAAGUACCCCUCUACCAUAGACGCCUCUGGACAAGCACGAGUUGAUACAUAGCCAUUUAGUAUUGACAUGAAACGUUCAUACAUCUACAUCUCAUGCAAAUACAUGGGACCCAAUGCCUCUAUUUGUGAAACCAAGUGCACCACAAGGUGAACCAUCACAUCGAAGAAUGCUGGGGGGAAACACAUCUCAAACUGUGAAAUUGUCUCCACUGUGAAUUCCUUAAGAGACGCCAACUUAUCACGUUCAAUCACCUUCUGUGAGAUCAUGUUGAAGAAGUAGCACAACUGUGUAACUACAACCUUUAUCCACACUGAGUUUAUAGCCCUAAUGGCAAUAGGGAGAAAAGUAGUCAAUAUGACAUGACAAUCAUGUGAGUUGUAGUUGGUGAGUGUAAGGUCUUUCAUUGACACAAUACUCCGUAUGCUAGAGCAGAAUCCAGAUGGGACUUUCAAUUUCUUCAACCACACACACAUCUCAUGUUUCUCUUCAUUGUUGAGGUUGUAGCUUGCUGCCGGGAGGUGGUACUUCCCAUUUUUUAGCCUAACAGGGUGAAGUUCUUUUUUUAUGCCUAACUAUACCAUGUCCAAGCGUGAAUUUAAUCCUUCCUUUGUCUUUCCCUUCAUGUCCAACAAGGUGCCAAUUACGCUUUCAAACACGUUCUUCUGAACGUGCAUACCAUCGAUCGCGUGGCGGACGUCUAAUUCUGGCCAGUAUUCCAAAUACUCGAAGAAAAUUGACUUCUUCUUGAAUGUAGCCCCUGGAGCUGGCUUGACAUUCUUUCUUGGUUUUCCAUCUUUUGUCUUCUUCCCAAAAACAAAUUUGAGUUUGCUGACUAUGCUGAAAACUCUUUGGCCUUUACUGUUACCUGAUGGAGCAGUAGUCUAUAGUUCACUAUUAUUGUCAAAGUACUUAUCCAUCUUUUUCAGCUCGUACCUGUGUCCUUUUGAUAAGAAGCGUCUGUGCCUCAUGUACACUAUCUUCUUAGAUGCAGUUAGGGACACGUAAGCGAUGUCAUCUAUGCAUACAACACAACCAAACUUUCCCUUGAACUGUCCUGAUAAUGUAAAGAGAGCUGGGUAGUCAUUGAUCGUAACAAAGAUAAAGAGAGGGUAUGUUUGAACACAUGUUUCCCAUAGUAUCUUCAUGUCCUACAUUAAGGGCUCCAAGAAAACAUCCAUAUCAACUCCAGGUUGUGUAGGUCCAGAGAUAAGGAUGGUUAGUAAAAGGUACUUUCGCUUCUGCAUCAACCAUGGAGGGAGGUUGUAGAUGGUGAGGAUCACUGGCCAUCUGUUGUGCUUGCUGCUCCUCUCAGCAAAUGGAUUCAUUCCGUCAGUACUCAGUGCGAACCUAACAUUCCUUGGUUCAUUAGCAAAGUUCUUGUGGUUUUCAUUGAAAUCUUUCCACUGCUGGCCAUCGGCUGGGUGCCGAAGCUUCCCAUCGUCUUUGUGCUCAUCAGAAGCAUGCCAACUCAUAAGUUGGGCAUCCUCUAGGUUAGCAAACAAGCACCUCAAUCGAUCGAUCACAGGAAGGUACCACAUCACCAAAGCAGGAAUCUUUUUCUGCGCAUAAUAGUCUACUUCUUCCUUUUCUUUGUCGGUGGGUUUUGAACUACUCUUCUAGGUCUUUUGUUGGGCCUUCUUUCGUUUUUUUCCCUUAGGCACAGAGGCAACACACUCUUCCUCUAUGUAGUCUUUAUUUGUCUUGUACCUACUUGCACCACACUUGGGACAGCUGUCCAAGUCCCUAUAAUCAUCGCCUCGACAUAUGAUACAAUGAUUUCUACAAGCGUGGAUCUUCUCAACACCCAUUGUGAGUGGGCUGAUUAGCUUCUUUGCAUAAUAUGUGUUAGCAGGCACUUUGUUAUCCUUAGGAAGCAUGUCUGCGAUAAUGCUUAAGAACACAUCAAAGCCAGCAUCAGAAAUACCAUAUCUAGCUUUGCACACCAACAACUUUAGCACAGACCGCAGCGUCGUGAACUCUUUGGUGCAACCCUUGGACUCAUCAUACAAAGGCUCUUCUGCUACCUUCAUUAGGACCUCCAUACCUUUCAUGAAGAACACUGAUGGAUCUUUCGCAUGACGACGCAACAUUGCCUCUAGAAAUUCUGCAUCUUCCGCAGCCAUGUUAGUUUCGGUGCCAUCUUCAUUUCCUCUAAUAAAACCAUGAUCAGGAAGAAUUGGCACAACAUGUUCAGUGGCUAGACCAUCGGUAUUAGGUUGUUGUGUCUCGUGUACGAACUCAAACUCGUCAACAAUUCCAGUUGUAUAAGGCGCAGAGCUACCCUCUCCAUGCUUUGUCUAAAUCAAGUAAUCUUUCACAAAUCCUCGACGGACCAGAUGAGUAAGGAUUUGUUGAAUGUCAUCAGAUACAACAAGAUUUCUACAAUCCAUGCAUGGACAAUGUAUGUGCGUCUUUCUUGUUCUUGAAGCAUGGUUUGGAGCAGUAUCAAUAAACCUCUGGACCUCAGUUAUGUAUGAUGGAUCUAGUCUUGACAAAUUAUACAUCCAAAAUGACCUCUCCAUCACUACCUGUAAAACACCAUUCAUAUGAUCUAAGGGUUUACAUAGGAUUUAUCUAGGGUUUAUUAGCUAAGGUUUAUGGUUAAGCUUGAGAUUAAAGGUAGGAGUUCCAUUCAAUUUGCUUGGAGUUCCAUUCAAUUUGCUCAUUCUAGCUCAAUAUGACCUAAGUUACAUAAUUAAAAAAUAAUCUAAGUAUAGCAUAACUAUAUAAAUACAUCAUUCAUUAUUAAUAGAUAGAUGAUGUGGAAGGUGAUAAUAAAAAACCUAACUACCGUAUAAUUAAAAAAAUCCACAAUUAUCUCUCUACAUAAAUAUACAAAGAACACACCAUUGGUUUAAUCUUGUAAAAACUAGCAAAAUUGAGAAGCAAACAUGUUGAGAGGCAUUAUCCAACCAUAUUAAGCAACCCCAUGUAACCAUAUCAACAAAUAAAGACAAGAAGCUAGCUAUUCUUCUCUCUCACUCAUAAAACAUACAUACAUGUUGAUAAAUAAAUUGAAAAAUUUAUAAAGAGAGAGAGACAUAAAUUAGAAAACCUAAGUAUAGCAUAACUAUAUAAAUACAACAUUCAUUAUAAAUAGAUAGAUGAUGUGAAAGGUGACAAUAAAAAACCUAACUAUCAUAUAAUUAAAAAAAUCAACAAUUAUCUCUCUACAUAAAUAUACAAGAACACACCAUUGGUUUAAUCUUGUAAAAAUUAGCUAAAUUGAGAAGCAAACAUGUUGAGAGACAUUAUCCAACCAUAUUGUUGAGAGACAUUAUCCAACCAUAUUAAACAACCCCAUCUAACCAUAUCAACAAAUCAAGACAAAAAGCUAGCUAUUCUUCUCUCUCACUCAUGGUGAAACCCUAGAUCCAAAAAGUGGCUCAAAUUGAGCUAGAAUGAGCAAAUUGAGGCAAUAGGGACAUAAACUAACCUCUUUUAGCAACCUCCUUCCUAGAAAUGAAGAUCAAAACCUCCCCCCUUGUAUUUUGAGAAAUCUGGAACUCCAAAAUCGCCCCCAAUGGAAGGUGGGUGCGAGAUACUGUUCUGGUCGGGGAGGAAGAAGGGGUAUUUAUACAGAGAUAACACAGGCGGUUGCUUAAGUCAACCGCCUGUGUUAAAUUGUUUCCACAGGCGGCCGAAAAUCACUGACACUGCCCUAUUUAUACCACAGGCGCGUCGUAACUGGAACCGCCUGUGGUAUAAAAAGGGGGCGCCAGCUAUGAGCCUGUUUCUACUAGUGGGAGUUGGCGCCAACUGAGCCCCUGAUCUUGUCCCUAUAUAUAGGUCCCUUGCCAUCCCCACUCCUCCAACUUGAGUUGUAUCUUCUUCAUCUCUCUCCUACUCUCUCUCUCUCUCUCUCUCUCUAGCAUGAGCCAUGUCCCAAGCUUCAAGUAGCUAUGGUAGUAGGGUCAAGCGGGUGCUUUGCCCUAACUGUCAUGUGCUAGCCAAUCGGUUCAUCUUGAUGACCACGAAAAACUACAACCGUGCCUUUCACAAGUGCCCCUAUUAUUCAGUAUGUGUUUCCUAUUUGUCUUUACCUAUUUGUUCUGAUGUUUGCUCAUAAUGUAUUUUUUGGAUUUCAGAUUGGAGGCUAUCAGUAUUAUCAGUCGGAGGAUGAAAUGGUGGACACUGAAGUGCAGACACCUACUGCCCCAGCUCCAAUACAUGCAGUUCUCCUACAGGCAGUGGCACCAACUAUUGGUUUCCCUACUGUAGGUCCUCUGGCCAUCAUGCAGGAAAGUUCUCUGGUUGCUGGUGUUGUAGGCAAUGCACUAGUGGACAAUAGGGUGCUGCAGCAGCCUAGGUGGUUUGAAAAGAUGGUCUAUGUUUGCAUGUUUCAUACUUUGUAUGAUAUUUUCAAGAAGUAGGGGUGUGUGUAUUCAUGGAUGUAUGGUUGCAUGGUUAAUUGUAUGAAUGAAUGAAUGACUGGCAGCUAAAACAUUAUAUGACUGGCUCCUCACAAUAUAACAACAAAAGCAACAUUAAUCACAUAACUAUCUUAUCACUUAACUGGUUUAUCAUAGAACUUUUGUUCACCACAUGACAACAAAUUUAUUGGUUUUCAUCUACAGCUAAGUACUGUCAUGAUAUAAAUUACAAAUGAACAUUCAUGACAGUCCAAAAUAACAGUAAUGCCAUCACAUGGUAGGUGUUUUUCCAAAAUCAGAACCACAUCACCAAAAGAACAAUGUGCAAGCACCUUUUACUGUAACUGGAGCUUCUUCUUACUUCUGGUAUCUGCAGAAGGGCUGGCUGGGCUAGCUGCAACUUGGACCUUCUUUGGUGUAAGCUUCUUCUUUACUCCCACCUUCCUUCUUGAUGAAGCCUAGUGCAACACAGACUCUAGUGGCUAGGUCUCCAGUGUGGUGGACUCUUUAUGGAAUGAGGUUUGUAAGAUUCUUUGAGUUGAACUGUACUUCAUGCCCAACAACUGUACCUCCACAACAAGAGGAUGCAAGCAUAAGUUAGGUGUAGAAAAUGGUGUAUCAUUUGUAUUGGACUCUGAAUCAUGAUUUUGGGUUGUUCUACAUUUUUUCCAAAUAAAACUAUAUGAGGUUUGUAAGAUUCUUUGAGUUGAAAUGUAUUUCAUGCUCGGCAACUGGACCUGCACAACAAGAGGAUGCAAGCAUAAGUUAGGUGCAGAAAAUAGUGUAUCGUUUGUAUUGGACUCUGAAUCAUGAUUUUGGGUUGUUCUACAUUUUUUCCAAAUAAAACUAUAUGAGGUUUGCAGUUGCUAUCUACCUGUCCAUCUGUAAAAGAAAUUCUGCACUCAUUAGAGACUCCAUGCUAGAGCUCAACUUGACAUCUCUAACAAAGUUGCUCAAUUAAGUAUAGGGUAGUUUAGAUGUGCUAGAAGACUGAAUAUUUUCUCUGCCAAAUGCAUAGAAAAGAAUAACAAAGUUUGUCUUCCCAAGUAGCAAGAUCCUCAUCGAGUCCACUCCACUUAAUCAGCACUUGAGGCACAACAGCUUAGUCACGAUGAUGAAGUCUUGACUGUAGAAUUCCUUCUAGGACUUGGAGCAUGUCAUCGACGUCUAGCAGACGCGUACCACACGUCGAGAUCAAAGAUGGAGACGACUUGAGUAGGGAGACGUGGAGACGGGAUGGAUACUACUGGAAGGAGGAAGCUCCAGCUUGUAUGCCACUGAGCUGACCAUGGAAAUGAUCUUGAAUGGCCUGAAAUACUUGAAGCAUAGCUUAUGGUGUGAUCUUGGGGCCAACGAAGACUGCACGUAUGGCUGGAGGUGAAGGUAGACGAAGUCACCCACUUGAAAAGUGUGCUCAGAAUGAUGCUUGUCCGCCUGGUACUUCAUGUGCUGUUGCGCACGGAGCAAGUGUUGACGCACCGCAGCGAGCAUAGUUGUGUGUUCUUCCAACAAUGCAGUCACAUCGGGUAAAGGAGAGACUGACUUGUCAGUAAUACCAAAAUGAUGGGGGGUAUGGCCACAGAGUACCUGGAAUGGAGAUUUCCCUAGUGCGGAGUGUUCAUUGGUAUUAUACCAAAAUUCUGCAAGAGACAGCCAAUGAAUCCACCUUCGUGGGCAAGAAUGGACAAAGCAAUGAAGGUAUGUCUCCAGACAUUGAUUUACUCAUUCCGUCUGGCCGUCGGAUUGUGGAUGGUAAGCUGAGCUCAUAGAGAGAGUCACUUGAGCAAGCUGGGACAACUUUUUCCAAAAUGUGCUGGUAAAUAUCGGAUCCCUGUCUGAUAUGAUUUGAACUGGCAUGCCAUGGAGCUUGAAAACAUGAUCUAGAAAUGCUUGUGCAAUUGUCUUAGCAUUGAAUGGAUGGUGCAGGGGAAUGAAAUGGGCAUACUUACUGAGCUUGUCAACUAUGACCAUAAUGCAAUUGGAAGUAGCUGAAGUAGGCAGUCCCUCAAUGAAGUCCAUGCUUAUCACUUGCCAUGCUAUAGAAGGAACUUGCUGAGGAGCAAGAAGACCAGGGUACUUUGAACGAUUUGACUUUGCCUAAAUACAAAUAGUAUAGGUCAACACAAAGUCCUUGAUAGCACAAAGUCCUUGAUAGCUCGUUUCAUCCUUUCUAGUGAAACAGCUUCUUAACUCUACUAUGAGUUACUAGAAAUCCUGAGUGCCCGCUAGGUGCACUGUCAUGGAGUGCUAAAAUGAUGCGUUGUUGUAACUGUGGAUUGGCACCAACCCAAACAUGGCCAGAAUAUUGGAUGACCCCACCAACCAAGGUGAAGGGAGGACAAACCAUAGGAUCAACAUCGAGCUGCUAGAGAGUUUCUUGUGACUCAGGGUCUUGAUCGUAGCCAGAUACAAGCUCGGCUAACCAAGUUGGGGUAGAUACUGAAAUUGUCUACAACUGGCUUGGCAGGCUAGGAUGCCUGAACAAUGCGUCCGCUAUAUAAUUGGAAAUUCCUGGCUUGUAGAUGAUUUUGUACUACAAUCCAGAAAGGUUGGGAUGCAUUUUAAGUUGCCACUGGGUGUGCAGGUGUUGAUCAGUCAUGUGCAUGAGACUGCGUUGAUCUAAAAAGAUGAUAAAUUCUACAUAUUAUAAGUAGGACUACCACUGUUCAACUACCAUCAAUGUUGCAAGGAAUUCCUUCUCAUAGGUUGACCUAAUGAUUUAAUGACAAAUGUGAUUGGGUGAUUGUCCUGCAGAAGAACUACACCAACUCCAGAGUCACUGGCGUCAAUUUGAAUCUAAAACUGCUUGGUGAAAUCAGGCAGGGUAAGGACUGGAGUCGAGACUAAGGCAGCCUUAAGUGCUUCAAAAGCUUCAGUAUGAAUACUAGUCCAAAUAAAUAAGCAAUGCUUUUUGAGCAGGUCAGAUAAAGGUCGUGCUAUGGCUACAUAAUUCUUAACAAACUUUUGAUAAUAACAAGCUAGCCCCAAGAAACUUCAUAGCUGCUUGAUAUCGAUAGGUUGUGGCCAGAGCUAUUUUGAUUCAAUCUUAGAUGGAUCAGUAGAAACACCAUUAUUGCCCACAAUAUGUCCCAAAUAAGAGAUUGACUGUUUUGCAAACUAGCAUUUGCUGAACUUCACCUUCUAUUCAUUGGAAGCCAAUAACUAAAACACUUGACGCAAGUGCUUUACAUGAUCCUCAAAUGUGGGGCUGUAGAUCAAGAUGUCGUCAAAGAAUACCUAGUGCAUUUGCGCAAGAGAGAGAAUAGGGUUGAAUUCAUUGCCACUUGGAAGGUGUUGGACGCCCCAAUGAGACCAAAUGACAUGACAUUGUACUCAAACUGUCCCCAUUGAGUUUGGAAAGCAGUCUUGAACUCUUCACCUCGGGCCAACCUUAUUUGGUUGAAGCCAGCCUAGAGAUCCAAACAGGAGAACCACUUGGCAUGUGAAAGCUCGUUCAACAACUCAUUGACCACUGGGAUUGGGAACUUAGUCUUGACUGUUAAGGCGUUAAGCAUUUUGUAAUCAACACAGAAUCGCUAGGACUUAUCCUUCUUGCAGACCAAGAGGAUAGGAGAGGAGAAAGGACUAUUGCUAGGGCGAAUCAAUCCAGACUGUAACAUCUCAGUCACCUACUUCUCAAUCUCAUCUUUGAGAGCUGGUUUGUAGCGAUACUGUCGAACAGCGACCGGGGAAGCGCCAUGAACCAGUGGAAUAUGAUGAUCACAAUGGCAAUGAGGAGGAAGUGUUGUGGGUUUAGUAAAUAAGUCUACAAGCUCAUCAAGAAAUUGCUGAAUCUCUAGAGGAAACGACUAAGGUGCUAACAAAGUUGACACCUCUGAGGCUUCAAUGUUGAGGAGUUGCACUAGAGAGACUGACUCAGUCGCCGGAGGAAUUCCUUACAAGCGAACAUGUUGUUGGCCAUAUGGGAUACUGAUCCACUUGUUAACCCAAUCAACCUUCAUUGGUGAGAACGACUGCAGCCAGUCCAUGCCCACGAUCAUGUCGUAAGAGCCCAGAGGGAUGACACAAAGAUCAGAGUGGAAACUAAUGCCCUAAAUAGUCCACUCAACACCCAUGAGUUCAGAGGAGCAACUAAUGGAAUUACCAUCAGCCACUUAGACUGUCAUUGGAUGAGACAGCUAAUUGAGGUCUAUUAAUUCAGAAGCAAGGUCUACACUGAUGAAUGAAUAGCUACUGCCAAAAUCAACCAGUAUCAAGAUGUCAUAACCAUGAAGCAGGCCUCUAAACUGAAGAGUCUUGGGGUGGCUUGAGGCUGACAUAGCAGCAGAGGAGAGCAACAUGAACACCUGCACAGCUCUGUAGGAGGACUAUCUUGUUCAGAAGAUUCUUGCUCAUCAAAUGCAUCCGAGCACAAGGCUCAUACCUCCUGUAGAGCAUGCACUUGAGGCACCAGAGCACACUGGUGAUUAGGAGCCCACUUCUCACCACAGCGGACACAGAGACCGUGAGCCUUGCGGUAAUUACGCAAAGUGGCUAGCUUGUCAUCGACAUUAGAAGGCCUUGGAGCUUGAUGCUUGUCAGGUUUAGGUAAAUGACACCUGGGAGCAGGUGGUAAGAGUAGAGCACCCUUGAUUGUUGUUAAACGAACGAACGGAGACACCUCAAAGCACUUGUAUUCCUUUUGGCUCCCUUGGUCGAGCGCCUCCUCCUGCAACGGAGCCAAAGUACAGGCAGAAUUGAGGUCUUGUGGACAAGAAACAAGUACAACAGAACGAAUGUCCUUGCAUAAGCCGUCAAUGAAGCGAGUGGUGAAAUAGAGUUUGUCAGGGUUGGAAUUGUAGGCUUUGAACUAGUCAUAGAGACCGGUAAAAUUUUCAAUGUAAUCUAAAACAGAGGAGGUGUAGAAAAUAUGGAAGAGCUGGCAUAACAGCAAUUCAUGCUGAUCACGACUGAACCUCUCGUGGAUCUGAGAAGGCUUCCCAAGAAAUGUGUUGGAUCUCAAAUUCUACAGACUGAAGCCAGCGGGCUGUGGCGUGGGGAAAAUGGUGUGUAGCGAUGCGAACCCAAAUAGAAGGGUGAACAAAGUACAUCUCAAAAUGUGAUCGAGCUUGAGAUAGCCACAACUUUGGAUUAUCCCCAUCAAACUAAGGGAAAGCAUCUUGGGAAGAUGACCCAAAUUCGGGUUGGUGUGGCUAUGGGAUGCAGAUGGUGGAUAAUUGGGGUAGGAAAGGGUGAAAUUAGGGUAUGGAUGGACAACAGGAGGCCGGGUAAGGAGGGUAGGGAGGGUGGAACUGGUUAGGAGGGAGGGGUGGCAGAUAUGGAACUAGAGGAUGAGGGUGGGAUGCUGGUGCUGGUGGAUAUGGCAGAGGAGGAGGAUGAAGAGGAGGAAGCAUACCUUUGGGCGCGUAUGGGGUCAUGGUUGGGUUGGAACCAUACCCCAUAGCCCAUGGAAUUGAUUCGACGUUGUAUCCCAUGGGCCAGUCAGUCGAUGCUCUAGCAGAGGCUUGCUCGGCGACUAACUCCAAAGUACCGUGAUGAUGUGGUGCAGAUCCAUUGGCUGGGGCAGCGUAGAAAUGAUCCCACAGCCUGGAUAGUCAAUCCACCUCCGCGCGGAUAGCCACCACGGAUCUGUCGACGUGGGGGUGCCAAGCUCUGAACAUAGUCUCGAGGGCGAGGACGCGUUCAUCGCGUUCGUCCUGGAUCUCCAUGUACCACACCUUACCGAGCGAGAAGACGCGAUCCUCCAGCUCGUCAAGGCGCGCGAAGAAGUGGCCGCCCCAGUUGUCGGCGACGAUGGUGGCGGUAUUCUAUGUGGACGUGAAAUCCUCCAGGGACUAGAUGCAGUCGUCGACGGUGGCUUCGCGCUGGAUGCGGGCGGCUUUCGAGUCGAAGAAGCGACAAUCCAGACGAGAUCCGAGGCCGUCGAACUCGGCGCGGAAGGUAUCGAAGCGGUGUAGCAAAUCGUCGAACAUCUGCUUGACCACGGAUCCAUGGCACCACGAGACUGCUGGAGCCGGGUAAAGUGGAAGUGGGUGGGUGGGAGUGAGUCCCCCAGCAUGCGCGAGGGCCGAGAACCGAUGAGCUUUGAUACCAGUGUUAGCUGCGGCGGCGGCCACAGCUAAACGGAACCAGAGAAGAUACAGGAUGUAGUCUACGACGAGUUCUUAAGAAACAGAGAAUGCUUAGCCUUAGGCCAUUACAAGGAAAAUGGAAUCAAUUAUGUUGCCCCCUUCUUCUAGAGUCGCUCUAGAUAUAUCACUUGGCAGAAGGCUUGUCCCCGCAGACCACGCAAGCCCAUUCUAGCCUAGCAAUCUUGACGCUCUUGGCCCUCUUCCUUGCUACGUGCUUGGCCCAAGACACAGUAGCUGAUCUCCAAGAUGGGGGCUGCUGACAGGCGUGGUAGUCCACAGCUGUGGGAGAGUAAGGUACGGACUCCAUGGAUUUCGAUUGUAGGCCAUGGUGGUAUUCAUCCAGUCGAGAGUGACGUCACUUAGCCACCACUAUCAUCGACGCAAUCGAUGCCAACAACACUGGUGGCUAGCCAUGGAGGCACGACCUAGCUCAAGGCAGGCGCAGACUAAUGGAUCAACAUGUCGCACGUUGGCCCAAUGCCACAUCAUCUCGACAAGGAUUGGCGGUUGAGGAAUAAGGCCUACCUAUUGGCGCGCGUCAACGGACCAUCGGCACCCUGAUGCGGGAUGCAGUCAGCUCCACAGUGUGUGCGCGACCAACCCCGGGCACCUUGAUGUGGGAUGCGGUCAACUCCAUAGCGUGUGCGUGACCAACCCUGGGUGCACGUGACUCCGCGCUGGGAGCCCACGUGGCUCCUAAAGCCCAAUGCUUCGCCAGGUCGUCGAUGGCCUGCCGUGCCAAGGGACGCCCUCGCACCGGUGACCCACGGCCUUGGCCGGGGACCAUCACACCGAGCACCCGUCGUCAAAUCCCCGACUCACCAGCCUGCGAAGGGGACUAGCCGGCAGUGCCAGGUCGCCAUCAUGACAAUGUGCGGUGCACAGCUCUCCAAUGCUCGUGAUUCCAGCCCGCUCCGGUGGCGUGGCAAGCGGAGGGUGGAGCGGAGAGUGGAGGUGACGGAGCAGGCGAAGAAAUGGAGGGGACGACCAUCUGCCUGCGAAGCUUUGUGAUGGCUCAGGUAGAUGUUCAAGCGAGCUGAUGACCCAAAUCGAUCCACAUUGAACGGACGAGAUCACAUGGUGGUCCGAUCCAACGGUUAUCGGGCUAACGGGCGACGUGGCCCGAUCCGUUGCCCAUCUUUCGAGAGUAGGAUUCCUAUAUAGAGAUAUCAAGGAAAGUAAUAGCUGAUAUACAUAAGGAUUACUUGACACAAAAUAACCUUUAAAAAUAAGAGUACAUUGAAGAUCAAACAAGUCAUCUUCUUCCUUUGAUGGUGCACGUGCCAGUGCCGCAGUCACACGUCAUUGCCGCCGCGGCGCUUCUGAACCAUGAUAUACUACUCUAAUGGAUCUUAAGGCUUAUUUGGUUCCCUUUACUAAAUUUUAAAUAGCUAAACUUUAGUAACUUUAGUAGCUAAAUUUUCAAACCACCGACUAAAAAGGAGCUAAAAUAGUUUAGUCCCACUAGCUACGCAAAAAUAUCUAAAAUAGUUUUAGCAGACUAAAAUUUUGCAAGGAAGCAAACAAGCCCUUAUUGUGGAAUAUGUACCGGGAGAUUUUUAAAAUAACUUGUUUUGAUUCAGACUCAGCAUUGACAAGUUGUAGUUAUGAUCAUGAAUAAUACGACUGGAAUUUGACUGCCUUGCUGACUGUAAUAUUCCAAAUUGAUCCCCGAGCUGCAUCAUUUAUGGAAGAGGUAAAAGAAAUGUUGACAUUAUUCCAAGAUUUCAAAGUCAAAAAAAUAUCUGUAGGAGUGCUAAUAGAGUGGCUCAUGCUUUACGGCAAAUUAGCAGAAGAGUUUCUUCUUAUUUUCUAUCUGAAGGUAUCCCAACCUGCGUGCCGAAAGACGCCAACUGUAAACAUGUUCACGAUAAAAUAUAAGCUCUUUCCUGUGUUAAAAAAAAUAUAUGAUUUUAGUCAUAUAAAUUCAGUGCCUUCAGCUUUGUUUUGCCAUUAUUUGUGGUCAAUUUAGCAGGCUGUUUUUCUCAAGUUUCAAUGCUUUGAAAAAUAGAAUCUCUCACUGCUAACGUACGUGCGGAGAUAAAAGCAUUGCCGGGAAGCGAGCGAUGAACGACGACGACAAGCAGUCGCCAGGUCUUGCUAACCAGAAUCAGGGCCUAAAUGACGCACGCAAUCUCUGGCCGAAGGAUAUAUAUUGUGAAAUGUGAAGCAAUAAUCAGCCCUGUUCAGCCUCGAUCAGUUAGACACUGAAAGGCCAUUCUUUCUAUAAUAUAUUGUGAAAUGUGAAGCAAUAAUCAGCCCUGAUCAGAUAGUUUUGGGCUGGAUCUGCUUAGUUUGAUUCAUUAUCUAUCAACUCUUGUUCAGUCAAGUUUGCAUGUCUUGGUGUCACAAGCAGAUUCGUAGAAGCGAUGACGAAUGAAUGAGUGAACGGUGUCAACUUUAGUCUCAUAUAUAUUUAAUUCGUGGAAACUAUACUUCUACUCUACUAGGAAUCAUUAUUUUUCAAGUUUUUUUGAACUUUCAAUCAGUAAUACAUGGCAUCACUACAGGCUGAUCCACUAGUAGUUCUAGGACAAAUCUUGUGUCAGUCACUUGUGAGCUGUACGAUGCCUGAAUUUCUCACUUGAGCGGACGAAACAAAAUUCCAUGAUGAGGUAUGGUCAGAGUACAAUUUGGUGCUGCAUUUGCCGAAUGUUGUGAAAUCGAUUUGUACUAUUCAUUUUUACUUGCAGUAAUCUCCUACUACUCAAAUAUUGAUGUCGUCUCUUUCAGCAAUUUAGAUGU
rnacentral:lncRNA from 1 species